rnacentral:misc_RNA from 1 species
UGUGGUAGCUAGGACCGGUUAGGACAUCAAGUUGCUAACCCUUAUUCCAUAUUUCAUGCUUCUAGAAAGUGUCAGCCAUCUUGGACAUCAUUCAAAAAUUACAUGGCGAAUUGCUGCAAAUGCUGUAGUUACUGACUAGCUUAUCAAACUGUUUGGUAAUCUUGAUCCCUAUCGAAACAAAAUGAAUAGAGAGCCUCCCAAGAACGUGUACAGCAAUAACAGACUAAAGAAAAUUGAACCUGUUGCAUGGCCCAUCGAUAAUAAACGCCAAUCUUCUCAUCAGUAUACCUCUGCUGCUACAAGCAUUGGGAUGGCGGAAACCAGUAAUUCUGUGAAUACAAAAGAUAGAUCUCUACAUUUCAACAAAAGCCAAACAAAAUACGAAAAGCAUUUUGAGCCAAGUUCAUCAAAAGUUUUGGCUUCCAAAAAGCUGAAGGAAUCCCCACGUGUGAAACAAGUUUUACCCUUAAACUUAAAAAAUCCACCCACGUUUGGAGAUUUGGGUAUUCCACUGAAACACAGGUAUGUUCAAAGAAAAAGUACCAGCAGUAACAAUUGUUCUCUGCAGCCUCUGGCUAAGAAAUGCAGGAAAAAUUUUGAUAGUUCAGAACUACAAAGCAACCUACUUUGUGUUCAUCGUGAUCAAAGUUCUGACAACCCAUUAUGGUUGUCACCCAAAGAGUCUCCCAACCAGUCAAUAGAAAAGAGCAACCUUAAUGACCCACAUGGUGCAAGUGAAUUUUUUCAGAUGGUUAAAGCAACUCUAAAAGAUACAUUUGAAGAAAUUGUCAAGGAUUGUCCUGAAUUUUUAACCACCACAUUAAAUGCCAAAGAAAAGUUACUUAAAAAAUUACGUUCCUACACCCAAAGACAGCAAGCGAUGUUGGGAGAUCAUGCAAAUACGGAGGACAUGAGAAGCGGUGAAUCCCACGUUCUCCUCGAUUUAACUCGUCCGAUAGGAUUUAACCGAUUCCCUGGAGAGUCGUCCACAGAGAGCCAAGCUACUAAGCCGAAGCUACAGCUUAACAAUGCGACUCCAACCACUGUGGUCACAACAGAAGCAUGGGCACCUGUUGCUUACGGUUUCAAGAGUUAUACUACACCGCGGGAAUUCUUGCCUCGUUCUCGCCGAUACACGGGAUCAAUUACUAACGUUAGUGAGAGAAUGCCCUCUGAUGCAAUACAAAUAUCAUCGAAAGGUGAAUGGAAGUCUUUCUUUGAAUCAAAGUGGCAGUAAAAACAACCUCGAGGAAACAGAUGAAUCGACCAAUGCCUGUCUACCAUUGUUUAAUCCUCGCAAGGUUUGUGGAAGAUCCGUUCUACGUUGAUUAAUACCGCGUAGUGGUCCCUAAAGAAGCCGAUGUAAUCAAACCUUUUGAAGUUUAAAACCUUCAACGAUAUUUUUCCCUCCCAUUUUGGUGGAUGCCACUAAAAACGUACCUUCCAACGGAAGUCUUUGAAGUAUUUCUUAAAGAUCUUAACAUCUAAUAUCUUAAAAAAAAAAAAAAAAAAGCUGCGAUGGGGGUAAAUCAAUGAUUCUGCCCGUGUUCACGAUUAUACUAAAUGGUGAACGCGUGAGCAGACGGAAUACGAGCGCGCAGCACAUUUUUGUCAUAAGAUUGUAUUGGACAGAUUCCGAUGAAGCGUGUGAAUGAUUUUGCUGGUUUGCUUGCUUGUAAUCGAAUUAUUGACAGCGGUUGCCAUGGGGGGGGGGGGUGAGAAUUCAAUGUAACAACGAUUGGAAAUCUCAUAUCGGCUCGUAAGAAAUAGGAGUGCCAUACAAAGACGAUCGAAUUUUCUGCGGACUUUAUUUCUUUUGGUGUCUACCUUUUGAUCGCGAAUUGAAAUUCGUAUCUGACUUGCUACACCUCCUAGACAUCAUUGAAGAUUGUUGAUCGGAAAAACCUUUACAUGGUGUCGAAUCUUUAAAUAAUCGAUCGAAGCCCGUCCUCGCCUCUCCGUUGAGUAAUUUUGGUUUCUUUAUUGUCGUCGAUGUGCCACUCUUUCAUUUUUCCUCUUUUGUUUGUUUCC